rnacentral:rRNA from 1 species
CGGCAACAGCUCAAAUUUGAAAUCUGGUCACCUUACGGAGGCCCGAGUUGUAAUUUGAAGAGGAUGCUUUUGGCGAGGUGCCUUCCGAGUGCCCUGGAACGGGACGCCACAGAGGGUGAGAGCCCCGUAUGGUUGGACACCGAGCCUAUGUAAAGCUCCUUCGACGAGUCGAGUAGUUUGGGAAUGCUGCUCAAAAUGGGAGGUAAACCCCUUCUAAAGCUAAAUAUUGGCCAGAGACCGAUAGCGCACAAGUAGAGUGAUCGAAAGAUGAAAAGCACUUUGAAAAGAGAGUUAAACAGCACGUGAAAUUGUUGAAAGGGAAGCGCUUGCGACCAGACUUGCGCCCGUCGGAUCAACCGUCGCUUGUCGGCGGCGCACUCCGGCGGGCUCAGGCCAGCAUCAGUUUUCCCGGGGGGAGAAAGGCGGUGGGAAUGUAGCUCCUAGGAGUGUUAUAGCCCGCCGCGUAAUACCCUCGGGGGGACUGAGGACCGCGCAUC